UGAUGACGUUCUCCGGAAUCGCUGUACUGCUUUGAUGAAAGCACAUUUGAGCCCUUUUCCGGCUGAUGACUGAGCGUUUUGUC